AUUGAACGCUGGCGGCAGGCCUAACACAUGCAAGUCGAACGAGUGGCGGACGGGUGAGUAAUGUCUGGGAAACUGCCUGAUGGAGGGGGAUAACUACUGGAAACGGUAGCUAAUACCGCAUACCAUCGGAUGUGCCCAGAUGGGAUUAGCUAGUAGGUGGGGUAAAGGCUCACAUAGGCGACGAUCCCUAGCUGGGCUGAGGGGAUGACCAGCAAAACGGGAAUUGAGACCCGGUCCAGACUCUUACGGAAGGCAGCAGGGGGGAAUAUUGCACAAUGGGCGCAGGCCUGAUCCAGCCAUGCCGGGUGUGGGAAGAGGGUCUUCGGUUUGUAAAGCACUUUAAGUUGGGAGGCGUUACCAACAGAAUAAGCACCGGCAAACUUGGUGCCAGCAGCCGCGGUAUUU
rnacentral:rRNA from 1 species